rnacentral:tRNA from 1 species
CAUAAAAUAGUUUAUUUAAAAUAUAAAUUUUGGAGAUUUAAGAUAUUAUUUUUAAUUUUUUUGA